AUGAGCUGGUGCUGGCACGGGAAUCCUCAUCCGACAUACCGGUUAGGAUUGGAGAAGAGCCGCAACCUGAGGAGAAAUGGGAGGAAAUCUGAAAAGUGAAAGUAACCCAAAAAUGUGGAGCACUUGUGAAUAAAGAUCCUGCAAACAUGGCGUCACUGAUCUGGAUCCCUGCCAAAACUCAAAAGUCGACCCAACCAUGAAUUUAUUCAUGAGUUUCUGAUACUAACAGGUGUGUGUGUGUGUGUGUGUGUGUGUGUGUGUGUGUGUGUGUGUGUGUGUGAUAAGCAGUGAGGAGGUGAGGCCUACAUUAAAGUAUUGAAGCAUGUUAACAAAAACCACAGGUUUUCUUCUCACAAGCUGACCACGGUGUGUUUUAUUGGGUGCUUCAGAUAUACAAGUGCACAACAAACCACCCUGCAGCGGCAGAGGUGGCGGGUAGCCAGUAAAUAUACAAGUCCUGCCUCUUUCACGGGCAGACCUAUACUUUUGUGGUCUGCCUCAAAAGCCUUAAAAAAACAACAACAACAAACAUACAGUACAAACAAAAUCAGAAGAGGCUAAAAAGCAAGAAGAAUUCAUGGAUGCAAACUUCCUUUUCCAUGCAGAUAAACCAAUGACGGACACGAAAACAAGGAGAAAGGAAGUGGAGCGGAGUCUGCAUGUUUGUUCCAGGUGCCACUAAGAAGAACAUCCCGUAGAGCUGGAGGACAACGACGUGUGUGAUAAUAAUAAUAUUCUGUUUUCUCCAAUGCGAUAAUUCCAACAUUCAGAUAUUGGAACAUAAAAAUCCAGAUCUACUCUUUGUAUAAAAAAGAAGCUUUCAAGUCAACAAGGAACAAAGGACAAUUUUUUUCUGUUUUUAAAUUUUUUUUGCUUUUGCACAGAAAUGGUAGAUUGGGGGGGGGGGGGGGGGGG